rnacentral:lncRNA from 1 species
CAUGCAGUAAUGCUUUCUAUUCAGUUUACAUUCAAAUUCAAUGCAAACAAUUAAAAUCUAAUGCAGGCAAUACAAUUGUUUACGGCAAUUCUCAGGUUCAAAAUUUUAUUCAGAAUAAAAGAUAAGAGUUAAUAGGAGCCACGCAUGCAGUCAUGCUUUCUAUUCAGUUUACAUUCAAAUUCAAUGCAAACAAUUAAAAUCUAAUGCAGGCAAUACAAUUGUUUACGGCAAUUCUCAGGUUCAAAAUUUUAUUCAGAAUGGAAGUUAUUAGUUGGGUCUUUACUGAAACCAGGAAUAGACAAGAACAAUAAAACAUGUGCACAUGCAAGACACAGAACAGGUUAGUUGUGGCUGAUGACUUCAAGACAAUGAUAGGUUCUAAAUCAUAAACCGAGCCUUUUCCUAUCUUUUGAUUGUUACAAUAUAGACACAUAAACCAACCAAACCCAGUUCCCGCUAGGCCUCUACCACUUAAAACCAAAACACGACCAACCAGGCAUCUGGUCUAGAUACCAUGUACUGCUUGUGAUGAAACAAACACCAUAAUAAAGGAACAGAACUGCAAAGAAUGAUAAAUUUAUUCCACCUGCAACCGAUCAAAGAAUGAAACAAGAACACCCAAAUUAGGAACAAGACACUAUAAGUGCCCCAUUUAAGUCAAUAAUAAUGUGCACAACUAAGACUUGUCAGCACGUGUAUAGG